CCUACGGGAGGCAGCAGUGAGGAAUAUUGGUCAAUGGCCGUAAGGCUGAACCAGCCAAGUAGCGUGAGGGAAGACUGCCCUAUGGGUUGUAACCCUCUUUUAUGCGGGGAUAAAGGGGUCUACGUGUGGAUGUUUGCAGGUACCGCAUGAAUAAGGACCGGCUAAUUCCGUGCCAGCAGCCGCGGUAAUACGGAAGGUCCGGGCGUUAUCCGGAUUUAUUGGGUUUAAAGGGAGCGUAGGCCGGUUGUGAAGCGUGCCGUGAAAUUUGCUGGCUCAACCAGGGGAGUGCGGCGCGAACUGGAGUGCUUGAGUGCGCGGAAGGCAGGCGGAAUUCGUGGUGUAGCGGUGAAAUGCUUAGAUAUCACGAAGAACCCCGAUUGCGAAGGCAGCCUGCUGCAGCGUUACUGACGCUGAUGCUCGAAAGCGCGGGUAUCGAACAGGAUUAGAUACCCGGGUAGUC
rnacentral:rRNA from 1 species